AUUGAACGCUGGCGGCAGGCCUAACACAUGCAAGUCGAGCGCGAAAGGCUUUCGGGCUGAGUAGAGCGGCGGACGGGUGAGUAACGCGUAGGAAUCUACCUGGUAGUGGGGGACAACUUGGGGAAACUCAAGCUAAUACCGCAUACGCCCUAUGGGGGAAAGUGGGGGACCUUCGGGCCUCACGCUAUCAGAUGAGCCUGCGUAGGAUUAGCUAGUUGGUGAGGUAAUGGCUCACCAAGGCGACGAUCCUUAGCUGGUCUGAGAGGAUGAUCAGCCACACUGGGACUGAGACACGGCCCAGACUCCUACGGGAGGCAGCAGUGGGGAAUAUUGCGCAAUGGGGGCAACCCUGACGCAGCCAUGCCGCGUGUGUGAAGAAGGCC
rnacentral:rRNA from 1 species